rnacentral:tRNA from 1 species
AGGGUUAUAGUUAAAUUAUAACAUUUGAUUUGCAUUCAAAAGAUAUUGAAUAUUCAAUUUACCUUG